rnacentral:rRNA from 1 species
CGUGAAGUUGGAAUUGCUAGUAAUCGCGGAUCAGCAUGCCGCGGUGAAUACGUUCCCGGGCCCUUGUACACACCGCCCGUCACACCAUGGGAGCCGGUAAUGCCCGAAGUCAGUAGCCUAACCGCAAGGAGGGCGCUGCCGAAGGUAGGAUUGGCGACUGGGGUGAAGUCGUAACAAGGUACC